ensembl:lncRNA NHSL1-AS1 NHSL1 antisense RNA 1
UGCCUAUUUAAAGUGUAUAACUCAAUGCUUUUUAGUAUAUUUACAAUGUUGUGCAAACAUCACCAUAAUCACUUUUAGAACAUUUUAAUCACACCAGUCUCAAAAAAACAAUUCUCUUUAGUACUCAGUUCCCUCCCUCCUAAACCAUCACUAGCCAAUUGCAACCACUCAUGUGUCUAUGGAUUUGCCCAUUGUAGAGGUUUCAUAUCAAUGAAAUCAUACAUGUGUGAUUGUUUGUGACUGGCUUCUUUCACUUAGUGUGAUGUUUUCAAAGUUUAUCCAUGGAGUAGCAUGGAUCAGUUUUGAUUCUUUUUUUAAGGCUGCAUAAUAUCCCAUUGUUUGGAUAUGCCACAUUUUGUUUAUCCAUUCAUCAGUUAAUGGACAUUUGGGUGUCCACUUUUUGGCUAUUAUGAUUAAUGCUGCUGUGAACAUGUGUGUACAAGUUUUUGUGUUAACGUGUGUUUUCAUUUCUCUUGGGUACAUACCGAGGAGUGGAAUUGAUGAGUCAUGGUGCCAAUCUGUUUUCCGAAGUGACUGCACCAUUUUACCUCCCAGCCAGCAAUGUAUGAGGGUUCCAGUUUCUUCACAUCCUCGGCAACACUAAUUUUUAUGUCUUUUUUAUUACAGCCAUUCUAGUGGGUAUAAUACCUCAUUGUGGAUUCGAUUUGCAUUUUCCUGAUAGCUAGUGAUAAUGAGCAUCUUUUCAUGAUUUUAUCAGCUACCUGUUUAUCUUCUUUGGAAAAAGAUAACAUUGUAGAAAUGUCUGUUCAGAUUCUUGGCCAUUAUUAAAUCAAAUUUUUGUCCAUUUCUUAUCAAGAUGUAAUAGAUCCUUGAAUAUUCUAGAUACAAGUCCCUUAGGUGUAACAUUUACUUCCUGAUUGCUUUAACAGUCUAUUGUGGGUUUUUUGUUUUUUGUUUUUUGUUUUGAGAUGGAGUCUCGCUCUGUCACCCAGGCUGGAGUGCAAUGGCAGGAUCUUGGCUCACUGCAACCUCCGCCUCCUGGGUUCAAGCGAUUCUCCUGCCUCAGCCUCCCGUGUAGCUGGGAUUACAGGUGCCUGCCACCACGCCCAGCUAAUUUUGUAUUUUUAGUAGAGAUGGAUUUCACCAUGUUGGCCCGGCUGGUGUUGAACUCCUGACCUCAGGUGAUCCACCCACCUCAGCUUCUCAAAGUGCUGGGAUUACAAGCGUGAGCCACAGCACCCGGCCCAGCAUUGUUCUUUAGUUUAUUCCCUCUUCUAUUCCCUUGAGACUUUCCCAUUGGUUUGAAAAGAAUUAUGAUUUAGCCACAUAAACUAAUAAAAAGAGAGCAAGAAUAUUUUUGUAAAUUUGUAAUCCUGGGGCAAUAUCAAUAGAAUUUUUUUUAUAAAAUGAAUGAUUUCACUACUCCAGAAGUGGAAUGUAAACUCUAUACAUAACCAGAACAUGGAAUUAACAGGACUCAUGGGUGUAUCCAUAAAAGCAACUGAAUUUUUAGUCUUCUGCUGUUAAUAAUCUGUUCCAUGAGGAUAGUUCUUCCUCUUCCACAGAAUGAAACUCAGGCAGUCCUAUAACUUUUUUAUUCUCUCAGGUAAUAGAAAAUCCUGUUACUUUAAGAGGAAAAACCCUGCUCUUAAUUCAGUAAUUCAAAUCUUGUCCCCUUCCCCAACAGGGUCUCCUAUGGACAGAAGUGCGGGCAAGGAGCUUUGUUCCUCCCCGAUGUCACCCUCCCACAGCCCACUUGCUAGCAGGCAAGAGAGGGGUGGAGGCCGGCAGUAAGGCAUGUACUGAACUGGACCUCUGGUGGAAUGGGUCACCCACGCUGGGCUUGACUCUUACCAUCAGGGUCCUGCCAACCCUUCAGUGAGACUUUUUCCGAAGAAUCCCUUUUAAAAUGACCUCAAGCUGACCUUCCUGAUGCAGAUUCCACAUAUGGUAUCUGAGACUCACACAGUGUGGUUGGAAGAUAGCACAGUGACCUCCCAGGCACAGCCCUCUGCCAGCCCUCCACUGGCUGCCCUAGGAUGCUGGCCUUCCUCCGAUGGGAGUCGGGCCCAGUCUGCUGUGAGCCAGGAGAAGCCAGCAAGCUCCCUGCGAGGCCUGGAGGAGCCCUUCUCACUCAGCUUGGUGUUCGAUGCCAGUGCCCCCGCCCAUUGUGGGGUGAGGGUGGGACUCUCAGCACAGCCCUGUCCAAAUAAAUCC